UAUUGUUGAUUACUGAUGCAUAACUACUAAUUUAAGUAUAGAAUGUCAAUGGAAUAUAGGAAAACAAACAAACAAAAGAGGUCAUAAAAUUGGUCAAAAUAGUUAUAGAAAUCCAAAACAAAACUAAUUUUAUUAUAACAAAACUAAAUUUAUUAUAUCCAACCUAACAAUUUACAGUUGCCCAAAAGUCCAAAAACAUCAUUUACAAAUUAGACUAGUGUCGAAAAAUUCAACCCAAAAUUGUUCGACCCAACCAUCAAAUUCAAAUCAACUCACAUAGUUUUAUUCCCAUACUGAAAUAUGAGUGGAUAGAUUCAAGAACCAUUUUGCAUCAUAUCUAAGGAUUUUUUGGCUGAAGAAGCAAUUUCAUUCGAUCAUUAUCAAACACACUAGCCCAUUUUCGUUCAAUCUACCCAAUCUGCUCAAUGUUCUGUCCCCUUCAACCAAUCUUGAAUUUAUACCAAGAAGAAUAAGAAGCAACAAUGAAGAAAUUGAGGGAGAGAAAAAUAUCAAAUCUUGCUAUGCCUAUGCCAAAAGAUGAGCAUAAAAACACAUCUUCUAAUAAUAUAAAAUCUUGAACGUUGCUCUUUGAUCAUUGCAUAGCAGCCUGAAGCAGUAGAAACUUUAUGUUUCUUAUUCCCUGAGGCUUCUUUUUUGGUAUUACUUUUUGUUGAUACUGAAACAUCUUUAUUUCCAUGCUUCCAGGAAAUUGCCUUUCUAUUUUCUUGACAUGCAAACGUAGAAACACAUUGACCCAUCUUUGUAUUCCCAAAGACGACAACAACGAUAACAAUAACGAAAAACUCAGUGAAAUCCCACAAGUAAAUUUUGGAAAGGAUAAUUUGCACAGCAGAUCUUACCCCGAUUUUAUAAAGGUGGAGAGACUUUUUUGAAUAGACCUACGGCUUAAGAAUAUAUGUCUCCAAACACCAAGAAGGCAAAACAACCUUUAUUAUUUUUCGGAUUAAAUUCUUGAAAAAAAUUGAAUUUCUCAAACUGUUCUGUAUGUGUAAGUGUGUGUAAGAACAAUAACCACUUGUUUUUGUCUCUCUUUCAAGGGAGAGUUGAGAAGAAGGCCAAUGGCACUUGACCCUACUUUUGAGCCACCCUUUUAGAGCACUAUUUAGGACUUCUUUUUCUAUGUUUACUUCUCUGUCUACGUGUACAUGUAUGUAUGAGAAUAAUAAUUGUUAAUAAUUUUAUUAAAAAAAUUAU
rnacentral:lncRNA from 1 species